UACGAAGGGGGCUAGCGUUGCUCGGAUUGACUGGGCGUAAAGGGCGCGUAGGCGGUUCGUACAGUCAGACGUGAAAUUCCUGGGCUCAACCUGGGGGCUGCGUUUGAUACGUGCAGACUUGAGUUCGGAAGAGGGUCGUGGAAUUCCCAGUGUAGAGGUGAAAUUCGUAGAUAUUGGGAAGAACACCGGUGGCGAAGGCGGCGACCUGGUCCGAUACUGACGCUGAGGCGCGAAAGCGUGGGGAGCAAACAGG
rnacentral:rRNA from 1 species